rnacentral:ribozyme from 1 species
CCAGCCUUCAUAACCGGAUGUAAGUGUUUUUUUUUUUUUUUUUUUUUUUUU